UAGGGAAUCUUCGGCAAUGGGGGGAACCCUGACCGAGCAACGCCGCGUGAGUGAAGAAGGUUUUCGGAUCGUAAAGCUCUGUUGUUAAGGAAGAACGAGUGUGAGAAUGGAAAGUUCAUACUGUGACGGUACUUAACCAGAAAGGGACGGCUAACUACGUGCCAGCAGCCGCGGUAAUACAUAGGUCCCGAGCGUUGUCCGGAUUUAUUGGGCGUAAAGCGAGCGCAGGCGGUUAGAUAAGUCUGAAGUUAAAGGCAGUGGCUCAACCAUUGUAGGCUUUGGAAACUGUUUAACUUGAGUGCAGAAGGGGAGAGUGGAAUUCCAUGUGUAGCGGUGAAAUGCGUAGAUAUAUGGAGGAACACCGGUGGCGAAAGCGGCUCUCUGGUCUGUAACUGACGCUGAGGCUCGAAAGCGUGGGGAGCGAACAGG
rnacentral:rRNA from 1 species